rnacentral:tRNA from 1 species
GCCUCCUUAGCUCAGUGGUAGAGCAACGCUCUUGUAAAGCGUAGGUCGUCAGUUCGAUCCUGACAGGGGGCUCC